AUGAAAAUGUUUGCCUAUUUUGAUCAGAAUAGAAGUGGCCAUUUGAUCAUCAAAUAUUCCGAGAGAAGUGAUAAUGUUGAUGUUCCAUGUAUUCCUUCGAACCAAACACCAUCUAUAGCACUGCCUAGUCAACCAAGUAGCAUCAUUGAUGAAGCUAUUGUAUGCCUAACAGAUACAUAUCUUGACAAUCCGCAUGAAGAAUAUGAACAUGUUGGUGUAGAUGAGGAGGACCAGUACUCAAUUGGCAGUGUUGGUUCCGAUAGUGAUGAUGAGGUCGAAGAAAAAGAUAUACCAAAUAAUGAUUAUGUUGAGGAUAGCAGUGAUGAUGAGGAAUGGGUUGCGGAAGAUGCUAGACUGGAUGCUAUUCCAGAAAUUGCUUAUGACAAAGAAAACCCGCCAAUGCAUGUUGGCGCAAAGUACCCCAACAUUGAAGAGUUUAGGUUGGCAAUUGCUACAUAUGCUGUAAAGAAAGAGUUCGAAUUCAAGGUUGAAAAAAGUGAACCUACUCGAUUCAGGGCUUAUUGUCGCCGGGCGAAGAAGACGGAUUGUAAAUGGAUAAUUCAUGUUGGGAGGUUGGAUGACCAAGAAACUAUGGAGGUCAAAGUUCAUGUGCAGGAGCACACUUGUUCUAGCACAAAGAAGAAAAAGAAGUAG
rnacentral:rRNA from 1 species